GACGAACGCUGGCGGCGUGCUUAACACAUGCAAGUCAAACGAAGAGCGAUGGAAGCUUGCUUCUAUCAAUCUUAAUGGCGAACGGGUGAGUAACGCGUAAUCAACCUGCCCUUCAGAGGGGGACAACAGUUGGAAACGACUGCUAAUACCGCAUACGAUCUGACCUCGGCAUCGAGGAUAGAUGAAAGGUGGCCUCUACAUGUAAGCUAUCACUGAAGGAGGGGAUUGCGUCUGAUUAGCUAGUUGGAGGGGUAACGGCCCACCAAGGCGAUGAUCAGUAGCCGGUCUGAGAGGAUGAACGGCCACAUUGGGACUGAGACACGGCCCAGACUCCUACGGGAGGCAGCAGUGGGGAAUCUUCCGCAAUGGACGAAAGUCUGACGGACCAACGCCGCGUGAGUGAUGACGGCCUUCCGGUUGUAAAGCUCUGUUAAUCGGGACGAAAGGCCUUUUUGCGAAUAGUGAGAAGGAUUGACGGUACCGGAAUAGAAAGCCACGGCUAACUACGUGCCAGCAGCCGCGGUAAUACGUAGGUGGCAAGCGUUGUCCGGAAUUAUUGGGCGUAAAGCGCGCGCAGGCGGAUCAGUCAGUCUGUCUUAAAAGUUCGGGGCUUAACCCCGUGAUGGGAUGGAAACUGCUGAUCUAGAGUAUCGGAGAGGAAAGUGGAAUUCCUAGUGUAGCGGUGAAAUGCGUAGAUAUUAGGAAGAACACCGGUGGCGAAGGCGACUUUCUGGACGAAAACUGACGCUGAGGCGCGAAAGCCAGGGGAGCGAACGGGAUUAGAUACCCCGGUAGUCCUGGCCCGUAAGCGAUGGGUACUAGGUGUAGGAGGUAUCGACCCCUUCUGUGCCGGAGUUAACGCAAUAAGUACCCCGCCUGGGGAGUACGACCGCAAGGUUGAAACUCAAAGGAAUUGACGGGGGCCCGCACAAGCGGUGGAGUAUGUGGUUUAAUUCGACGCAACGCGAAGAACCUUACCAGGUCUUGACAUUGAUGGACAGAACUAGAGAUAGUUCCUCUUCUUCGGAAGCCAGAAAACAGGUGGUGCACGGUUGUCGUCAGCUCGUGUCGUGAGAUGUUGGGUUAAGUCCCGCAACGAGCGCAACCCCUAUCUUAUGUUGCCAGCACGUAAUGGUGGGAACUCAUGAGAGACUGCCGCAGACAAUGCGGAGGAAGGCGGGGAUGACGUCAAAUCAUCAUGCCCCUUAUGACCUGGGCUACACACGUACUACAAUGGGAGUUAAUAGACGGAAGCGAGAUCGCGAGAUGGAGCAAACCCGAGAAACACUCUCUCAGUUCGGAUCGUAGGCUGCAACUCGCCUACGUGAAGUCGGAAUCGCUAGUAAUCGCAGGUCAGCAUACUGCGGUGAAUACGUUCCCGGUCCU
rnacentral:rRNA from 1 species